rnacentral:rRNA from 1 species
GGGUUGUGAGGUUAAGCGACUAAGCGUACACGGUGGAUGCCCUGGCAGUCAGAGGCGAUGAAGGGCGUGCUAAUCUGCGAUAAGCGCCGGUAAGGUGAUAUGAACCGUUAUAACCGGCGAUACCCGAAUGGGGAAACCCAGUGUGAUUCGUCACACUAUCAUUAACUGAAUCCAUAGGUUAAUGAGGCGAACCGGGGGAACUGAAACAUCUAAGUACCCCGAGGAAAAGAAAUCAACCGAGAUUCCCCCAGUAGCGGCGAGCGAACGGGGAGGAGCCCAGAGCCUGAAUCAGCAUGUGUGUUAGUGGAAGCGUCUGGAAAGGCGCGCGAUACAGGGUGACAGCCCCGUACACAAAAGCGCAUGUGCUGUGAGCUCGAUGAGUAGGGCGGGACACGUGGUAUCCUGUCUGAAUAUGGGGGGACCAUCCUCCAAGGCUAAAUACUCCUGACUGACCGAUAGUGAACCAGUACCGUGAGGGAAAGGCGAAAAGAACCCCGGCGAGGGGAGUGAAAAAGAACCUGAAACCGUGUACGUACAAGCAGUGGGAGCACCCUUUGGGUGUGACUGCGUACCUUUUGUAUAAUGGGUCAGCGACUUAUAUUCUGUAGCAAGGUUAACCGAAUAGGGGAGCCGGAGGGAAACCGAGUCUUAAUUGGGCGUUAAGUUGCAGGGUAUAGACCCGAAACCCGGUGAUCUAGCCAUGGGCAGGUUGAAGGUUGGGUAACACUAACUGGAGGACCGAACCGACUAAUGUUGAAAAAUUAGCGGAUGACCUGUGGCUGGGGGUGAAAGGCCAAUCAAACCGGGAGAUAGCUGGUUCUCCCCGAAAGCUAUUUAGGUAGCGCCUCGUGAAUUCAUCUCUCCGGGGGUAGAGCACUGUUUCGGCUAGGGGGCCAUCCCGGCUUACCAACCCGAUGCAAACUGCGAAUACCGGAGAAUGUUAUCACGGGAGACACACGGCGGGUGCUAACGUCCGUCGUGAAGAGGGAAACAACCCAGACCGCCAGCUAAGGUCCCAAAGUCAUGGUUAAGUGGGAAACGAUGUGGGAAGGCCCAGACAGCCAGGAUGUUGGCUUAGAAGCAGCCAUCAUUUAAAGAAAGCGUAAUAGCUCACUGGUCGAGUCGGCCUGCGCGGAAGAUGUAACGGGGCUAAACCAUGCACCGAAGCUGCGGCAGCGACACUGUGUGUUGUUGGGUAGGGGAGCGUUCUGUAAGCCUGUGAAGGUGUGUCGUGAGGCAUGCUGGAGGUAUCAGAAGUGCGAAUGCUGACAUAAGUAACGAUAAAGCGGGUGAAAAGCCCGCUCGCCGGAAGACCAAGGGUUCCUGUCCAACGUUAAUCGGGGCAGGGUGAGUCGACCCCUAAGGCGAGGCCGAAAGGCGUAGUCGAUGGGAAACGGGUUAAUAUUCCCGUACUUGGUGUUACUGCGAAGGGGGGACGGAGAAGGCUAUGUUGGCCGGGCGACGGUUGUCCCGGUUUAAGCGUGUAGGUGUGUGUUCCAGGUAAAUCCGGUUCACUUUAACACUGAGGCGUGACGACGAGGCACUACGGUGCUGAAGCAACAAAUGCCCUGCUUCCAGGAAAAGCCUCUAAGCAUCAGGUAACAUCAAAUCGUACCCCAAACCGACACAGGUGGUCAGGUAGAGAAUACCAAGGCGCUUGAGAGAACUCGGGUGAAGGAACUAGGCAAAAUGGUGCCGUAACUUCGGGAGAAGGCACGCUGACACGUAGGUGAAGUGAUUUACUCAUGGAGCUGAAGUCAGUCGAAGAUACCAGCUGGCUGCAACUGUUUAUUAAAAACACAGCACUGUGCAAACACGAAAGUGGACGUAUACGGUGUGACGCCUGCCCGGUGCCGGAAGGUUAAUUGAUGGGGUCAGCGCAAGCGAAGCUCCUGAUCGAAGCCCCGGUAAACGGCGGCCGUAACUAUAACGGUCCUAAGGUAGCGAAAUUCCUUGUCGGGUAAGUUCCGACCUGCACGAAUGGCGUAAUGAUGGCCAGGCUGUCUCCACCCGAGACUCAGUGAAAUUGAACUCGCUGUGAAGAUGCAGUGUACCCGCGGCAAGACGGAAAGACCCCGUGAACCUUUACUAUAGCUUGACACUGAACAUUGAGCCUUGAUGUGUAGGAUAGGUGGGAGGCUUUGAAGUGUGGACGCCAGUCUGCAUGGAGCCGACCUUGAAAUACCACCCUUUAAUGUUUGAUGUUCUAACGUGGACCCGUUACCCGGGUUGCGGACAGUGUCUGGUGGGUAGUUUGACUGGGGCGGUCUCCUCCUAAAGAGUAACGGAGGAGCACGAAGGUUGGCUAAUCCUGGUCGGACAUCAGGAGGUUAGUGCAAUGGCAUAAGCCAGCUUGACUGCGAGCGUGACGGCGCGAGCAGGUGCGAAAGCAGGUCAUAGUGAUCCGGUGGUUCUGAAUGGAAGGGCCAUCGCUCAACGGAUAAAAGGUACUCCGGGGAUAACAGGCUGAUACCGCCCAAGAGUUCAUAUCGACGGCGGUGUUUGGCACCUCGAUGUCGGCUCAUCACAUCCUGGGGCUGAAGUAGGUCCCAAGGGUAUGGCUGUUCGCCAUUUAAAGUGGUACGCGAGCUGGGUUUAGAACGUCGUGAGACAGUUCGGUCCCUAUCUGCCGUGGGCGCUGGAGAACUGAGGGGGGCUGCUCCUAGUACGAGAGGACCGGAGUGGACGCAUCACUGGUGUUCGGGUUGUCAUGCCAAUGGCACUGCCCGGUAGCUAAAUGCGGAAGAGAUAAGUGCUGAAAGCAUCUAAGCACGAAACUUGCCCCGAGAUGAGUUCUCCCUGAGACUUAGAGUCUCCUGAAGGAACGUUGAAGACGACGACGUUGAUAGGCCGGGUGUGUAAGCGCAGCGAUGCGUUGAGCUAACCGGUACUAAUGAACCGUGAGGCUUAACCUUACAACGCCGAAG